rnacentral:lncRNA from 1 species
GUUCUCUUCUGGCCUUUUUAACAAGCCAGAAGAGCCCAAAGAUGAAUCUCCUUCUUCAUGGAGAUUGGGACUGAGAAAAACUGGCAGCCACAACAUGCUGAGUGAGGUGGCCAAUUCCAGGGAACCUAUAAGGGACCGAGGCUCUUCCAUCUAUCGCUCCUCUUCAAGCCCUCGGAUUUCUGCUCUACUGGACAACAAAGAUAAGGGUCCCACCGCUUGAGGACUUCAAGGUGCUGGAUGGGGUGGAGGAUGCAGAGGGCGAGGAGGAAGAUGACCUGAAAGAGCUGCCCCCGCUGGGCAUGGGACAGCCCCCGGUGGAAGAGGCUGAACAGCCUGGGACAUUGGCCCUAGAGUUCCUCGCUGCCAUGGAGCCUGAGCCCGC